rnacentral:rRNA from 1 species
GACGAACGCUGGCGGCGUGCUUAACACAUGCAAGUCGAACGGAAAGGCCCUGCUUUUGUGGGGUGCUCGAGUGGCGAACGGGUGAGUAACACGUGAGUAACCUGCCCUUGACUUUGGGAUAACUUCAGGAAACUGGGGCUAAUACCGGAUAGGAGCUCCUGCUGCAUGGUGGGGGUUGGAAAGUUUCGGCGGUUGGGGAUGGACUCGCGGCUUAUCAGCUUGUUGGUGGGGUAGUGGCUUACCAAGGCUUUGACGGGUAGCCGGCCUGAGAGGGUGACCGGCACCAUUGGGACUGAGAUACGGCCCAGACUCCUACGGGGGCAAGCAGUGGGGAAUAUUGCAAAAUGGGCGAAGGCCUGAUGCAGAAACGCCGCGUGCGGGAUGACGGCCUUCGGGUUGUAACCCGCUUUCGCCUGUGACGAAGCGUGAGUGACGGUAAUGGGUAAAGAAGCACCGGCUAACUACGU